GUGGCUGUAGCUCAUCAGGUGAGAGCGCCAGGUCGUGACCCUGGAGGUAGUCGGUUCGAGCCCGACCAGUCACC
rnacentral:tRNA from 1 species